CGGCGGCGGCUCCUACGCAGCCCGUGCCCGCCCCGAGCCGCGGGAGCAGCGGCGGCAGCGGCGGCAGCAGGAGAACCGGGGGAAUCGCGCUGCUGGGCGAGCAGCAGCAGCAGCAGCGUUGAAGGGAGAGAAGGCACCGGGACAGGCCCCUCUUAAGAGAGGAUUUAUAUCUAG